GAUGAACGCUGGCGGCGUGCCUAAUACAUGCAAGUCGAGCGAACGGACGAGAAGCUUGCUUCUCUGAUGUUAGCGGCGGACGGGUGAGUAACACGUGGAUAACCUACCUAUAAGACUGGGAUAACUUCGGGAAACCGGAGCUAAUACCGGAUGAUAUUUUGAACCGCAUGGUUCAAAAGUGAAAGACGGUCUUGCUGUCACUUAUAGAUGGAUCCGCGCUGCAUUAGCUAGUUGGUAAGGUAACGGCUUACCAAGGCAACGAUGCAUAGCCGACCUGAGAGGGUGAUCGGCCACACUGGAACUGAGACACGGUCCAGACUCCUACGGGAGGCAGCAGUAGGGAAUCUUCCGCAAUGGGUGAAAGCCUGACGGAGCAACGCCGCGUGAGUGAUGAAGGUCUUCGGAUCGUAAAACUCUGUUAUUAGGGAAGAACAUAUGUGCAAGUAACUGUGCACAUCUUGACGGUACCUAAUCAGAAAGCCACGGCUAACUACGUG
rnacentral:rRNA from 1 species